ACGGGAGGCAGCAGUGGGGAAUAUUGGACAAUGGGGCAACCCUGAUCCAGCGACGCCGCGUGAGUGAAGAAGUAUUUCGGUAUGUAAAGCUCUUUAAGCAGGGAAGAAAAUGACGGUACCUGCAGAAUAAGCCCCGGCUAACUACGUGCCAGCAGCCGCGGUAAUACGUAGGGGGCAAGCGUUAUCCGGAUUUACUGGGUGUAAAGGGAGCGUCGACGGCAAAUCAAGUCUGAAGUGAAAGCCCGCGGCUCAACUGCGGAACUGCUUUGGAAACUGAUUAGCUAGAGUGUCGGAGAGGUGAGUGGAAUUCCCAGUGUAGCGGUGAAAUGCGUAGAUAUUGGGAGGAACACCGGUGGCGAAGGCGGCUCACUGGACGAUAACUGACGUUGAUGCUCGAAAGCGUGGGGAGCAAACAGGAUUAGAUACCCUGGUA
rnacentral:rRNA from 1 species